rnacentral:rRNA from 1 species
UAAAGGCGGCAUGCUACCAGGCAGUUCGUACCAGCGAGUCAGACGUCGAGAGCUUGCUCUCUUGGCGGCGAGUGGCGGACGGGUGAGUAAUAUAUCGGAACGUGCCCAGUAGCGGGGGAUAACUACUCGAAAGAGUGGCUAAUACCGCAUACGCCCUACGGGGGAAAGGGGGGGAUCGCAAGACCUCUCACUAUUGGAGCGGCCGAUAUCGGAUUAGCUAGUUGGUGGGGUAAAGGCUCACCAAGGCAACGAUCCGUAGCUGGUUUGAGAGGACGACCAGCCACACUGGGACUGAGACACGGCCCAGACUCCUACGGGAGGCAGCAGUGGGGAAUUUUGGACAAUGGGGGAAACCCUGAUCCAGCCAUCCCGCGUGUAUGAUGAAGGCCUUCGGGUUGUAAAGUACUUUUGGCAGAGAAGAAAAGGUACCUCCUAAUACGAGGUACUGCUGACGGUAUCUGCAGAAUAAGCACCGGCUAACUACGUGCCAGCAGCCGCGGUAAUACGUAGGGUGCAAGCGUUAAUCGGAAUUACUGGGCGUAAAGCGUGUGUAGGCGGUUCGGAAAGAAAGAUGUGAAAUCCCAGGGCUCAACCUUGGAACUGCAUUUUUAACUGCCGAGCUAGAGUAUGUCAGAGGGGGGUAGAAUUCCACGUGUAGCAGUGAAAUGCGUAGAUAUGUGGAGGAAUACCGAUGGCGAAGGCAGCCCCCUGGGAUAAUACUGACGCUCAGACACGAAAGCGUGGGGAGCAAACAGGAUUAGAUACCCUGGUAGUCCACGCCCUAAACGAUGUCAACUAGCUGUUGGGGCCGUUAGGCCUUAGUAGCGCAGCUAACGCGUGAAGUUGACCGCCUGGGGGAGUACGGUCGCAAGAUUAAAACUCAAAGGAAUUGACGGGGACCCGCACAAGCGGUGGAUGAAUGUGGAUUAAUUCGAUGCAACGCGAAAAACCUUACCUACCCUUGACAUGUCUGGAAAGCCGAAGAGAUUUGGCCGUGCUCGCAAGAGAACCGGAACACAGGUGCUUGCAUGGCUGUCGUCAGCUCGUGUCCUGAAAAUGUUGGGGUUAAGUCCCGCAACGAGCGCAACCCUUGGUCAUUAGUUGCUACGCAAGAGCACUCUAAUGAAAACUGCCGGUGACAAACCGGAGAAAAAAGGGGGGGGAAUAACCUCCAAGUCCUCCUGGGCCCCUUUUGGGGUGGGGGCUUUCCCACGUCAUAACAAAGGGUGCGGGGAAAAAAGGGUCCCCCACCCCCCCCAGGGGGGAGCCAAUUUUCAAAAACCCCAUCUUAUUUCCCGGAUCCCAAUUUGCCAAUCUCCCCGCGCUGGAAAUCGGGAAUCGUCUUUUAUUCCGGGAUCCAAAAUUUUCCCGGGA